CCCUUAGACGUUCUGGGCCGCACGCGCGCUACACGGACCAGUGCAACAAGCAUCCGUCCUUGGCCGACAGGCUCGGGCAAUCUUUGAACGCUGGUCGUGAUGGGGAUAGACUUUUGCAAUUUUUGGUCUUCAACGAGGAAUUCCUAGUAAACGCAAGUCAUCAACUUGCAUUGAUUACGUCCCUGCCCUUUGUACACACCGCCCGUCGCACCUACCGAUUGAAUGGUCCGGUGAAGCCUCCGGAUUGGCGCGCACCUCGGUGCCGCCGAGAAGUUGGCUAAACCUUACCAUUUAGAGGAAGGUGAAGUCGUAACA
rnacentral:rRNA from 1 species